rnacentral:lncRNA from 1 species
GGAUAUCCAUAGAGAUCAGAUACGUGUGUGGCUCGUAGAACUUCAAACUAGUGAUCAUCGGUAGCGGUGAAUUUUUACCCAUGCUAAGGUAUUGAGAUUUGAUCUCAUUCUAAUUUUAAUUUCUAGAUUAUAUGUAUAUCUUUUUUUCUGAGCUUGGGUAGUAUUAGAUAAGAUCUAAUGCAUAUAGAGUUAAAGGGUUUAACCUAUUUAUUUUUCUAUUGU